AUCGAACGCCGGCGGCUGGUCUAACUCAUGCAAGUCGAGCGAGCGGCGGACGGGUGAGUAAUGUAUGGGGACUGCCCGCUAUAGGGGGAUUACUACUGGAAACGGUGGCUAAUUCCGCAUACUGUAGGAUAACCCAUAUGGGAUUAGUUUGUAGGUAAGGUGAUGGCUGACUUAGGCGACGAUCCCUAGCAGGUUUGAGAGGAUGAUCAGCCACACUGGGACUGAGACACGGCCCAGACGCCAAGGGGGGCAGCAGUGGGGAAUAUUGCACAAUUGGCGCAAGCCUGAUGCAGCCAUGCCGCGUGUAUGAAGAAGGCCCUAGGGUUGUGAGGUACUUUCAGUCGGGAGGCGUUACCGACAGAAGAAGCACCGGCUAACUCCGUGCCAGCAGCCGCGGUAAUUC
rnacentral:rRNA from 1 species